rnacentral:rRNA from 1 species
UAAGACCUGCGCUUUUGGAGCGGCCGAUGUCUGAUUAGCUAGUUGGUGGGGUAAUGGCCUACCAAAGCUUCGAUCAGUAGCUGGUCUGAGAGGACGGCCAGCCACACUGGGACUGAGACACGGCCCAGACUCCUACGGGAGGCAGCAGUGGGGAAUUUUGGACAAUGGGCGCAAGCCUGAUCCAGCCAUGCCGCGUGAGUGAAGAAGGCCUUCGGGUUGUAAAGCUCCUUCAGCCGGGAAGAAAAGGCUGCGACUAAUAAUCGCAGUUCAUGACGGUACCGGAAGAAGAAGCACCGGCUAACUACGUGCCAGCAGCCGCGGUAAUACGUAGGGUGCGAGCGUUAAUCGGAAUUACUGGGCGUAAAGGGUGCGCAGGCGGUUUUGUAAGUCAGAUGUGAAAUCCCCGGGCUUAACCUGGGAACU